GGGGAUGUGGCUCAGUGGUAGAGUGCUUGCCUAGCAUGCAUGAAGCCCUGGGUUCAAUUCCUCAGUACCA
rnacentral:tRNA from 1 species